UAACUCAGUAAGUUCACAUGGUC
rnacentral:miRNA from 1 species